CAGAGACUAACGCCAAUGAUGGAGAUCUGGCUGGUGAGGAAUCAUUUGUUUUGGAGUCGGAGCCAAGACUGAAUUCCCGGGGAUUUCUGGCGCGAUCGCGUCCAAGUGUCUGGUGUGUAAGGCUCUUCAGUCUGCCCUGAAGCUCAGAGGGCUUCGACAGUACAGAUGCUAGAGGCCUCUGCGAGCAAAGGCGGCGCUGGCCCAGGGGUUCAGGUUCCUGCGAGCGUUGGCCCAUGGCGCUUCCGGAUGCGCUGUCCGGAUCCCCGCCGGACACUUCUGCCCCCGCGGCCCUCUAGUUGGUUCACCAGUUUGCGUUUGAUUCCUGCGCAUUUCUUAUGUGUUAGGCAUAAUAAUAAAGGGUGGGGCAAGCCUCCCCAACUGAGAGAGAUCUCUUUGCCGGAGAACCUGGGGCCUCAACCAGCUCAUGGGACUGUUACCUUCAGCCCGUUGCUAUCCCUAGCUUCUGUAAAACUGCUGGCUUGUACUAAGACCUUUUCAUUCCUGGCUACACAUGAAUUCCCAGAGGAGAGAAUGGGCGCGGAGGAGCUUUAGAAACACCCGUGUCUGAUACCUUCGAAGAUUCUGAUUUAACUGAUCUGUGGUGGGGCCUGGGCAAUGGCACUUGUAUAAAUUAUGCAGGUGAAGCAGG
rnacentral:lncRNA from 10 species